GGCUCAGAGUGAACGCUGGCGGCAGGCCUAACACAUGCAAGUCGAGCGGCAGCGCGUCCGACCACCCUCGGGUGGUCGGAUGGGCGGCGAGCGGCGGACGGGUGAGGAAUGCAUCGGAAUCUGCCUCGUUGUGGGGGAUAACGUAGGGAAACUUACGCUAAUACCGCAUACGACCUACGGGUGAAAGUGGGGGGACCGCAAGGCCUCACGCGAAUGGAGCGGCCGAUGUCAGAUUAGCUAGUUGGUGGGGUAAAGGCCCACCAAGGCGACGAUCUGUAGCGGGUCUGAGAGGAUGAUCCGCCACACUGGGACUGAGACACGGCCCAGACUCCUACGGGAGGCAGCAGUGGGGAAUUUUGGACAAUGGGCGCAAGCCUGAUCCAGCCAUGCCGCGUGCGGGACGAAGGCCUUCGGGUUGUAAACCGCUUUCAGCCGGAAAGAAAUCGCCGUUUUAAUACAGACGGUGGAUGACGGUACCGGAAGAAGAAGCACCGGCUAACUACGUG
rnacentral:rRNA from 1 species